rnacentral:snRNA from 2 species
AUCGCUUCUCGGCCUUUUGGCUAAGAUCAAGUGUAGCAUCUGUUCUUAUCAGUUUUUUUUUUUUUUUUGUCUUUUCUAGGGUCACACCCAUG